CUUCAGGCAGCAGCGCUUGCUGAUGGCUCCUGGCUUUGUAAACACCUCCUGAUGACUGAAUUAUGACACAGCACUUGCAUGGCAUGGUUGGAGAUUGCUUAGGCCUGUCCUGGCUGGGCAAUGAACAAAGUUAAUAUGUGUUUCAUGUACAAUGUGGUGGUACACAAAAUCCAUCCCAAAUUAAUCUCGUAUCACUGCGUAUCGGAAGAGCUAUUUACAGAGCUUCUGCAGCAACAUCUAGGCUUCAUGCUACCUGUAAUGCAGAAUGACUUCCUGGGGCCAUCUCCAGAUUCUUUCUGCUUACAGCUUGUGAUUACUCCUCUGAAUUUUAGGUUGAUUACAAUGUUUGGAUGUUUGGACUAGAGCAAAGGUAGAGGAGAGUUACAUCCAUAAUGUUCACAACUGGACAUGGAGUCAGCUGCAGCCUUCGAGUGAAGUGGUGUGCUGCCACAACAAGCCCCCAGACUUUUCCCAGAAAGGCCUGGGAAAAUUGUCUGUUGCUUUCUGUGCCAGAGAGCUGCUGCCACAGUGGUGCACAUCCUGCUGCAAGAAUCUCCUCGCAGCACCAGCAAUAGGGGCAGGACUAAUACCAGGGCUAGUACCAAAAUGUGUGGUAGCCCAUGUGCCAGCAUGGCAGGGAAGCUCAGUGAUGGCAUAACUCCCACAUCACAAUGGGGACCGCCUCCAUCCCAGGGGAGCUCCUGCCAACCCUUGCUCAAAUCAGAGGAUGUCUGUCUGAGCACAGAACUUCAUCAAUUGGUUCCAUGUUUGUUUCCACUAACUCUAAGAAAGAGAGUCAAUUGAGAAUGAGGAGUUGGUGCCAGCGGAACUUCUUUAUUGCAUGAAGUUUCUCACAUCCGCAAAUCAGGCUGUUCAUAUUCAUGAUCAAUGACAGAGAAUAAGAUUCAGUGAAAAGGAUAGUCUGGCAAAUCCUUGAGAUCAAAUGGUCUUAAAGAGAGGAAAUUUUUAUCUCCCCUAUUGAAUUCAUAUUUAUGGAAUACAGUUCAUGUUCUUUGCAACAUAAAAACAUUUGUAUAGGUUUUGUUCUGACUUCUACAAGUUGUUUAUUUUUAAGAUAUCAAGCCGGUAUUAAAGAAGACAAAUAAAAAUACCUAAGAUGUUUCCUGGGAUAAAUAGAAUAUAUCCUAUUGAAAUCCUAGAAUUUCAAAUGUUAAGAUCAAGUAAUCCAUCAUAGCAGCCAUAAAACGUGGCAGUGUAGCCACAUGAAUUGUAUGCUGGGAUCCAACAGACAUGGAGCAUUUUCUUUCUUGUGUCUCUGAGCUGCAUAGGCAGGUCACUUUACUUCUUUCUGCCUCAGUUAUUCCAUCUAAAAACGUCAAUAAUAAUGCUGUCAUACUUUGUGAUGUUAGGUAGUACUACAGUAACCUCUUCUUUAUAUGCAGGAACUGAGAACUAUCAGAAAUAAAAAUAUAUUUUCUGUGAUGGACUGUUGCUUUUAAGGCUCAGAGUAGACUGUCAGCAAAGUUGCUAUUUUUGGCUGCAAAAAUUGUGGGUUUGAGUUUAUUGCUAGAAUGGAUUAUCUUCCAAUAAAAAUUGUAUUUCAUUUAAAGCUUGCUUACUGAAGAAUGUAACCACAUCAAAUUUCAUAAUUUUUAUUCAUUUUAAAUAUAAUUCUGUUAUUCAUUAGUUGUUCUUAUUACAGCAAUAGUGGAUGACACAUUCAUUAUAAGCAGUACUUGUUUCCAGAGACCAAUAACUUUUUGAAAUUACUAGAUUUUGAGUAGAAAGUUUCACAUUAAUUUCAUCUUAGGGGUGAAUAUUUUGGAUGUUUAAUUUUAAAAAUCUGAAAUUGAGCUGGAUUAUCUUUUAGGAAAAGAUGUGCAACAAAUGGCAGGUAUUAUUUGGUUUGGUUUUUAGCAGUUAUAAAUACACUGCUCAAUCUAGUUUCCUUUCUUAAAUCUGUUGAGUAUUGCAUUUCAUCUGCUACAAGA